AGCACUUUAUACUGUGCUGUGCAUGUGGCUCAUUUCUCACUUAUCUUUUUUUGAUAACCCCUUACUACAUGGAUACCUGUGAAAAUUCUAGAGCUAAUACAUGCUAAAAACCCCAACUUCGGGAAGGGGUGUAUUUAUUAAAUAAAAAACCAAGGCCCUUCGGGGCUCCUUGGGGAAUCAUAAUACCGUAACGAAUCGCAGGGCCUUGCCCCGGCAAUGGUUCUUUCAAAUUUCUGCCCUAUCAACUUUCAAUGGAAGGAUAGUGGCCUACCUUGGGGGCAACGGGUAACGGGAAAUUAGGGUUCAAUUCCGAAAAAGGAGCCUGAAAAACGGCUACCACAUCCAAGGAACGCAGCAGGCGCGCAAAUUACCCCCUCCCAAUACUUUGAGGAAGUGACGAUAAAUACUGAUACUGGGCUCUUUUGACUCUCCUAGUUGGAAUGAUAACAAUUUAUAUCCCUCCUCAACGAACAUUUGUUGGGCAAGUCUGGUGGCGCCAGCCGCCGCAAUUCCUCCUCCUAUAACAUAUAUUAAAAAUGUUGCUGUUAAUAAGCUCGUAGUAGACCCUUGUCUCUGUCUGGCCGCCCCUCCUCCUCGUUAGUGCUUACCUGUUUGGAGCAUCCUUUCUUGGUGACCUCAUGGCAUGUACUGUAUGUGGUGUGAACGAGGACUUUUACUGUGACUUAGUAAAAAUGAUCAAGGUCAACGGAUGCUCUUACCCAUAAACAUGGAAUAGUAAAAUAAGACGUGCGGCGUACUUUCAUUUUUUUUGUUUCCGACAUAACCAUAAAUAGUGAUAGUGAUGGGUCAGGAGCAUUUCUUCGCGUCAGCCAAAAUUCUUAACCUCUUUAGAAAUAACAACUCUGCUGCUUAUGCCUAUUACAGUAUUGUUUCAAAGACAACGACAAAAGGAUUCAACCCGAAUGAUAUCAUCGAUCUAGUAUUUACAGAACUUAAAACAGAUCAUUUGUUCACAUAGUGAUAUCCAAAGGUAUAAGAAUUUAAGUUAAAGUUAUUUGCGAAAGAAAUGACUCUAACCCCUGACCAUUCAUGAAUAUUAUUGCACGCAGAUAAAAU
rnacentral:rRNA from 1 species